rnacentral:rRNA from 1 species
UACAGAGGUCUCAAGCGUUGUUCGGAUUCAUUGGGCGUAAAGGGUGCGUAGGUGGUGGGGUAAGUCGGAUGUGAAAUCCCGGGGCUCAACCCCGGAACUGCAUUCGAUACUGCCUUACUCGAGUACUGGAGAGGAGACUGGAAUUUACGGUGUAGCAGUGAAAUGCGUAGAUAUCGUAAGGAAGACCAGUGGCGAAGGCGAGUCUCUGGACAGUUACUGACACUGAGGCACGAAGGCCAGGGGAGCAAACGGG